UCUAGGUUGGCUCAGACGGUAAAGCGUCUGUCUACAAUGCAGGAGACCCGGGUUCGAUCCCUGGGUUGGGAA
rfam:TPA: Bos taurus chromosome 5, whole genome shotgun sequence.